AUCUUUACCUAAUAAUAUUACUUCUCCUCCUACAAUUAAUACUGUUACUCCUCCACCAAUGCCACAAAAAAUUAAUACCCCAUCUGGUGUUUAUGCUUCUCCUACAGGUCCUCCAUCCAUACCUGGUUUAUCAAACAGAAACACAUCCAUUUCAUUAAAUUCAAUUACACCUCCAAUCACUCCAAAAUUUAUGCAAGAUAAUAAAAAUAUUAAACGGGAGACGCAAGACCAGUCAAUGUUCAUACCCUCAACUAUGUCACAACCCAUAUCCCCUAUGGCAGUUAUGCCACCUACAAGUCCAAUGAAUUUUCAAACCCCCUACCAAAGCAAUGCGAAUAUGGGCAAUUACAAUCAACAACCUCAAUCACAACAACCCUCAUCACAACAAUCUUCAUCACAGCAACCACCAUCACAAGGAAUUAAAACUACAUCACCUGUGGCUGGUGCUUUGUCAGUAACCCCCGGAAUGCCUGUGCCAUGGCCAAUUCCUACAACAACGCAGCAACUCGGAUCCACCACUCAGUCAACUGUCAAUGAAAACAAAAUGGUACACACAGCUAUAAAAAAAACAACUGGCACACCUAUGAAUAGAAACGACAUUGAGAACAUAAAAAGAGUAAUCAGUAAUUUCUUAAACAUGUAUACAUCUCAAGAACCUAUUAAAAAAAAAGCUGAAGACAUUGUAGCAAAGAUAAAUGAUUUUUUUGAUAAAUUGGAAAAAGCAACAUUCACUGAACAAGUGAAUAAUACUCUCAUAAAUUUAGUCAACUGUUUGAGCAAUAAUGAUAUUAAAAGUGCAAAUAAAAUUUUAAUUGAUCUCAGUAGAACAUUGUGGGAUGGAAAUAAUAAGACAUGGAUUAUGGGACUAAAAUGCAUAAUACCGAAGUGAAUGACGUCACACAUGUGACACGCACAUGCAUUAUUGUGCAUUACAAAUAAACAUAUAUACAUACAUACA
rnacentral:lncRNA from 1 species